rnacentral:rRNA from 1 species
CAGCAGCAGGGAAUAUUGCGCAAUGGGCGAAAGCCUGACGCAGCAACGCCGCGUGGGGGAUGACGGCCUUCGGGUUGUAAACCCCUUUCAGGAGGGAAGAAAUUGACGGUACCUCCAGAAGAAGCCCCGGCCAACUACGUGCCAGCAGCCGCGGUAAUACGUAGGGGGCAAGCGUUGUCCGGAAUUAUUGGGCGUAAAGGGCUCGUAGGCGGCUCAGAAAGUCGGCGGUGAAAUCCCGGGGCUCAACCCCGGAACUGCCGUCGAUACUUCUGUGGCUAGAGUCUGGUAGAGGAGAAUGGAAUUCCCGGUGUAGCGGUGGAAUGCGCAGAUAUCGGGAGGAACACCAGUAGCGAAGGCGGUUCUCUGGGCCAGUACUGACGCUGAGGAGCGAAAGCGUGGGGAGCAAACAGGAUUAGA